ensembl:ncRNA Y39G8B.12 ncRNA
AUGCUUAGGCUUAGGCUUAGGCUUACGCUUAGGCUUAGGCUUGAGCUUAGUCUUAGGCUUAAGCUUAGGCUUCGGCUUAGGCUUAAGCUCAAGCUUGGAUA